GCUUCCGCUUCCGCCUCGGGAGGUGGCUCCCCGCGCGCUCCGCCUCGCCCCCGGGCCGGCCCGCGAGGGGGCGUGGCGUGGCAUGUCGGGCCCGUGGGCGGGGCCCGGCGCGCCACUGGGGCAGUGGGGGUCCCGGCCCCUCCUGGGAGGAUCGGGCGCUGUCGGGCCGCGCGCGCUCAGGAGGCCGCCCUAGUCUCCUGUCCCGUCAUCUGUCCCCUUAGCUGUCCCAUCUCCUGUUCCCUCUCCUGUCCCUCACCUGUGCUUCAGCUGUCCCUCACCUGUCUUAUCUCCUGUCCUUUUCCUGUGCCCUCAGGUGUCCCUUCAGCCCCCCUCAGUUCCCCCAGACCCCCUUAGCCUCGGAACGGGCGCGUGGCUGUGCCCUGCGGCUGCAGGUGGCCUAGGGGACGAGGCGCAGCUGUUCCUGAGGCGAGUGGGUGACCGCAGAGCAGGAGCGCUGUCCCGCCUGGCAGCCUGGACACCGGCCCUCCUCCUGGACGGAAGGAAGGAAAGGAAACGUCAGGAGGAGGCGGGGUGAAAGUGAAACUAUCGUCUGGGAACCUGUGAGAUGCGCUUGGGCCCAGCGCGGGGACUCGUCGCUGAGGCAAGGAGGGUGCCUGGCAGAAUGAAAUCCAGCUGGAAGGUGGUUUGGAAGGGUGAACAAAAGCAAACACAGGGAGCACUAGUGUGACCACCUGAAUCCAGUGUCACGUGGUCGGGAUAAUUAGCUUUCACACUGAUGGACUCUGGUUCUUUUUCUUCCUUACAAGAAUCGGAUGUGGGAAGUUAGAGUGGUGUCAGUCAUCUUCCUCUUGUGAUCUUCAUCAAAUCUCUCGUUCUGGGCCACAGUGAAGUGAUUCUUCCAAUCUCCCACGGCCCCUGAAACAGACAUGGGGUGGUGGGUGUCAGUACCGUGGGGUGAUUUGGAUUUCUCUGUUCUCCCGUUUCUGUGAGGAUUUCUACUCCCCGACAGGGAGGGACAGAGUCGGACAAACAUUUCUCUGGCUGGCCUGGCAGUGUCUCCUCCUGGAAGGGGGAGGAAUCGCCUGUCUGGCUUGUGGGUCGGGAGGUGACACGGCCGCGUGAACAGCAGGUCUGAGGAGCUCUCUUGUCCUUCCCUCCUGCCCGUCGCAGCACGCUCGGUGCUUGUGCCUGUGGCUGGCGUCCUGCAGGUAGAAGGGCCUGCUUCUGGAAGGACUCAACGUGCGGUUUUGAAAAAGGAGAGAAGAAAAAGAAGAUUCCCCUCCAGCUCUCCACGUGCAAUCCCUGUUCCCUUUCCCGGACUGCUUUUUCUACAUAGUACCUACUAGCAACUAUUAUCCUGAAUUUUCGUGUGUUUUGGUCACUGCUCUGAACAUUGCCCAGAACAGUGCCUGGUACAUAGUAGCCACUCCAGUCAGUAAGUAUUUUGGAGUGAAUGGACCUCUCUGAUAGCUUAGAGCCCUCCAGAAAGUGGAUUCUUUUCUCCAUCUGACUUAAUUCUGUAUAUUUUCACCUUAUCAGCCAGAACUCCAGAAGGAAGGUGAGGACAAAGGGUUGGACUUAGACACCAAACCUCACUCUCCAGUUGUGGCUGAACAUUGAUUUCAUUUCAUCUGUGGUUUCUUAAAUUAUUUUUUUCCCAGAACCAUUUAUUAUUGAUCUUAUUUUUCUUAUCUAUAGAAAAGAAACUCCCCAAAGACUCUGAAAUAUUGGACAAUUCCUUUAAGAUUAUGGUGAAAAGGAAACAUAAAAACCUUUUCUCAUGAAUGGAGAAAUAGAGUGGUUCAUGAAUGGAGCUGGAAUCGACGUGUAGUUUGCCAUCGGGUUCUGCUUCAUGACGUCAAAUGAACUGUAAUGGACAAUUUUAUCCAGAACUUUAUCAUCUAGGCUCUUUCCAGUAAAUUCUGCCAGCUUCAGAAUUUCAUGCUUUGGGUUCUAUGAUCAGAGUCAAAAGAAAAGACUUGAUAUAAGAUAAUUUAUAUCAAUAAAUAAUAGUUUCAAAAGACUGUUGGAAUGAAUUAAUGCUAGUAAUCAGUAACAUGUCAUGAAUUAAAAUUUUAAAAAAUCGGGUCUCACAAGUGCUCAGCUUUUCAGAUGUGACUCACUUUGAUGUGGUGACUGUAUCAACUGGAGUCAUUACGCUCUUCUUGUUCUAACAUGGAAGCGUCAACUGAGCGUGUCGGUGAGACACUCACCACACAGUGGCGUGCAGUGCAUGGGGCGCGUGCCACGGAGGGAUUUGUCCAGAAUUAGGCCCAAAUGUCCUGCUCUAGCCCGUCCAGCUAAAUGCCCCACGGGGACAGCCACUGGACUGAUGCUGAGAGCAGGUGUUGCGGCAGCGUUGGGGACCUGGCCACAGAGGCCCAUCUCCUGCUUCUCAUGUGGACAGAAGAGGCCCCAGACUUUCCCAGUGGUGCCGGUGAGGGGGGCACGAGGGUGGGAGGGGCUUCUUUGCACCCAAGAGGCCCUGUGGCAGUAGCUGCAGUGCCCAGCUGGUCGGGGUGCUUCGGUGUCUCUGAGAAGGUUUCAGCCCCAUUGUCGCCACUGUUUUCUCCUCAGAGGGACGCAGCCCAGGGGCGCUGUGGUGUGGGAAGGCCCCUGUGUCCCGGAGGAGUGGUGCGUUGCCGGUGGGAGCGUUUAUCCCCGCCACUGUGUCUCCUGCUUUAAAAUGGGCUCCCGCUUUGAAGCUUGGAUGUCAAAAGUGCUUAAUUUAGUUGGCCUCACACAGACUAGGAAUCAGCAAGAGUGCUGAGAACUGUGCGCCCUGAGUGACCACAGGCAGGUGACAGCCCAGAGCAUGAUCGCAGAAACAUGUAAGAGGGCGCUGGGGACCCUGAGGUUAGACUGCCCAUUUCGGUGAAGCCUCCUCCUGGCAUUCAUAAUGCAUUAGGAUCUACCCCAGGGAUCUAUCCACCGUUCCCAGGGACACAUCCUCCUUUGACACUGCUAUGACGAUAUGUGGGCAAGCGUCACCUACAUGGACUUUCCCUGGCCUUAGCUUAGUAGCAUCUGAUAUCAUGGCCCCUGUUUGUCACAUCCAGUCAUAAAAGAGCAAACCCUUCCUUAUAACCCCUGCCAUAAUAUUCCUUAGUUGAGUGUCUAUAUCUGGAAUCCUGUGACGAGACAACUCUCUGAACUGCAGCAGUGCAUAUGUGUAUAUGUGACCAGAGUCUCCUUUUGUAUGCCCUCCUGUUGUUUAGUUUUUCGGUGCUCUCUUGUGGUGUCUCCACACUUUUGUUUUGUUACCAAGUAAACACAAGGGAGAGAAUUUUAUACUGAUACCUGUAUGGGUUGUCCUGCUAGCCCUGGAAUCAUGGUUCUGAGAAUCCUAGAAAUGUAAUCCUACAAACUUACCUAUUUUAAAAAACCAUACAGAACAGAUCAGUGUUUGCCAGAGGUGGGAGGUGAAGUGGGUGAAG